rnacentral:rRNA from 1 species
GACGAACGCUGGCGGCGUGCUUAACACAUGCAAGUCGAACGGAAAGGCCCUGCUUUUGUGGGGUGCUCGAGUGGCGAACGGGUGAGUAACACGUGAGUAACCUGCCCUUGACUUUGGGAUAACUUCAGGAAACUGGGGCUAAUACCGGAUAGGAGCUCCUGCUGCAUGGUGGGGGUUGGAAAGUUUCGGCGGUUGGGGAUGGACUCGCGGCUUAUCAGCUUGUUGGUGGGGUAGUGGCUUACCGAGGCUUUGACGGGUAGCCGGCCUGAGAGGGUGACCGGCCACAUUGGGACUGAGAUACGGCCCAGACUCCUACGGGAAGCAGCAGUGGGGAAUAUUGCACAAUGGGCGGAAGCCUGAUGCAGCAACGCCGCGUGCGGGAUGACGGCCUUCGGGUUGUAAACCGCUUUCGCCUGUGACGAAGCGUGAGUGACGGUAAUGGGUAAAGAAGCACCGGCUAACUACGUG